ensembl:lncRNA
AAUUCAUUGCUUUUGUUUUGGUUUCUUUAGCUUUUUAAUAUAUGACACUCAAGCACUUGCAAAAUUGCUAAUGCAGGAAUGCCUUGAUGACACAAAGGAAACCUAGGUCAUAUGACCAAAACUUCUCUCAAGGCUGCCUGAGGGAGAAUUAGCCAUCUUUCCAAAUUUCGCCAUGGAGAAGUUUUCUUCCUGGACUUUCUUAUUCACUCACUUGUUAAAAGACCACAGAGGACUUCUGGUGUCUAGUUCCGCAGACAAGGAGCUUGGAAGGCACCACUUUAUCCUAACAACAAGUAGAAAUCAAUAACCCUCCUUGGAUUUGUAAACCGCUUCCCCCAAGAUUGGAGAGCCCAACAGGAGAAUACAGGAAGCCAUGGGAAGCAGUGCGCGGGUAGGGAAACCUGAACUGUAAUUGACGAAUUGCUGGAGUCUCCGUGGGGACAACUCUGAGAAUUAAAAACUCCAGGGUGAUUCAGUCACGGGGGACCCUCACAGUACUGUGAUAUUUACUUCCAGGAGCUCUACCAGAUUCCCACGAUCUAUUUACAGCAGUUCCUUUUACCUGGUACAUCAUGUCUGGCUAUCAAGAAAAAUUACAAGGCAUACCAAAAGGCAGAAAACACAUUUUGAAGAGAAAAGCAGGCACCAGAGCCAGACAUGGCAGGGAAGUUGGAAUUAAAAGACAAGAGCUCUCAUGAAAGUUGGAAUAAUUUACUGAGCUAAAAGUCAAAGAGGAGUCAUCCACAAAGAUUAAUUCCAGAGGGAUUAAAGAUUUAGUUGUGAAAAGCAAAAUGUUAAAACUUGUAGAAGAAAAUAUUUCUGACCUCCAACUGGGAAAGGAGUUCUUAAACCACAAAAGUGCUAAUCACAAAAGGAAAGAUCAAUCAUUUGCCUACUGUAAUAUUAAGACCUUCUGUUUAUCAAAAGGUACAAUGAAGAAAGCAAAAGACAUGCCAAUAUCUGAAAGAAGUUUGCAACAUGUAAAAUCAACAAAAAAACAGAUUAUAUAAAGAAAUGUUACAAAUCAGUCAGAAAAAGACAACACAAUAGAAAAAUGAGCAAUAGAUCUGACACACUGUCAGAGAGGAGAAAGAUGCAAAUGGUGAAUGAACAUGUGAAAAGAUGAGCAACCUCAUUUGUAAUCAGGAAAAUGCAAAUUGAGCUGAUGGUGGGAGUAUAAAUUGAUAGAAGCACUUGGGCACAAUUUAACCUUAUCUUAUGAAGUUGAAUGUUCACACGCCCUCCCACAGAGCAAAUCCACUCCUACGUAUAUUCUCUUGAGAAACUCUUGUAUGUCUGCACUGGGACACAUGCACAAAAUGUUUAUAACAGCUUCAUUCAAAACAGCAUAAAGCUAUAUUUAAGACAAAUGUCCACCAACAGGAGAGCAAAUAGAAGUUAUAUUCAUGCAACAAAAUAUUUGACAACAGGGAAAAUCAAUAAAUCACAGCUACAUGCAACAACUGGGGUGGACCUUUUAAACAUAACGAAUGGAAAAAAGUUAUCAGGUAACUACAUAGAGAUGAUGACUAUUUUAUAAAUAAAGUCCAAGAAUACCAAAU